rnacentral:rRNA from 1 species
AUUGAACGCUGGCGGCAGGCCUAACACAUGCAAGUCGAACGAGUGGCGGACGGGUGAGUGAUGUCUGGGAAACUGCGUGAUGGAGGGGGAUAACGACUGGAAACGGUAGAUAAUACUGCAUAACACACGAUGUGCCUAGAUGGGAUUAGCUAGUAGGUGGGGUAACGGCUAACCAAGGCGACGAUCCCUAGCGGGUCUGAGAGGAUGACCAGCCACACUGGAACUGAGACACGGUCCAGACUCCUACGGGAGGCAGCAGUAGGGAAUAUUGCACAAUGGGCGAAAGCCUGAUGCAGCCAUGCCGCGUGUAUGAAGAAGGCCUUCGGGUUGUAAAGUACUUUCGGCGAGGAGGCGUUACUCGCAGAAGAAGCACCGGCUAACUCCGUGCCAGCAGCCGCGGUAAUAC